AUUGUACGCUGGCGGCAUGCUUUACACAUGCAAGUCGAACGAGUGGCGCACGGGUGAGUAAUACAUCGGAACGUGUCUUCUAGUGGGGGAUAACUGCCCGAAAGGGCAGCUAAUACCGCAUGCUGGAAGAGCGGCCGAUGUCCGAUUAGCUAGUUGGUGAGGUAAAGGCUCACCAAGGCGACGAUCGGUAGCUGGUCUGAGAGGACGACCAGCCACACGGGGACUGAGACACGGCCCAGACUCCUACGGGAGGCAGCAGUGGGGAAUUGUGGACAAUGGGGGCAACCCUGAUCCAGCCAUGCCGCGUGCAGGAUGAAGGUCUUCGGAUUGUAAACUGCUUUUGUCAGGGACGCGGUACCUGAAGAAUAAGCACCGGCUAACUACGUGCCAGCAGCCGCGGUAAUUC
rnacentral:rRNA from 1 species